rnacentral:rRNA from 2 species
CAAGACAACUUUACGGAGUUGACGAUUGACGGAGCGAAGCGACGUCAAAGCGUUCAUUAAAGUCGAGUUGGCUUAGGGAUACGUUCGUUGGGUAGGGGAGCGUUCUGUAAGCCUGUGAAGGUGUGUCGUGAGGCAUGCUGGAGGUAUCAGAAGUGCGAAUGCUGACAUAAGUAACGAUAAAGCGGGUGAAAAGCCCGCUCGCCGGAAGACCAAGGGUUCCUGUCCAACGUUAAUCGGGGCAGGGUGAGUCGACCCCUAAGGCGAGGCCGAAAGGCGUAGUCGAUGGGAAACGGGUUAAUAUUCCCGUACUUGGUGUUACUGCGAAGGGGGGACGGAGAAGGCUAUGUUGGCCGGGCGACGGUUGUCCCGGUUUAAGCGUGUAGGUGUGUGUUCCAGGUAAAUCCGGUUCACUUUAACACUGAGGCGUGACGACGAGGCACUACGGUGCUGAAGCAACAAAUGCCCUGCUUCCAGGAAAAGCCUCUAAGCAUCAGGUAACACGAAAUCGUACCCCAAACCGACACAGGUGGUCAGGUAGAGAAUACCAAGGCGCUUGAGAGAACUCGGGUGAAGGAACUAGGCAAAAUGGUGCCGUAACUUCGGGAGAAGGCACGCUGACACGUAGGUGAAGUGAUUUACUCAUGGAGCUGAAGUCAGUCGAAGAUACCAGCUGGCUGCAACUGUUUAUUAAAAACACAGCACUGUGCAAACACGAAAGUGGACGUAUACGGUGUGACGCCUGCCCGGUGCCGGAAGGUUAAUUGAUGGGGUCAGCGUAAGCGAAGCUCCUGAUCGAAGCCCCGGUAAACGGCGGCCGUAACUAUAACGGUCCUAAGGUAGCGAAAUUCCUUGUCGGGUAAGUUCCGACCUGCACGAAUGGCGUAAUGAUGGCCAGGCUGUCUCCACCCGAGACUCAGUGAAAUUGAACUCGCUGUGAAGAUGCAGUGUACCCGCGGCAAGACGGAAAGACCCCGUGAACCUUUACUAUAGCUUGACACUGAACAUUGAGCCUUGAUGUGUAGGAUAGGUGGGAGGCUUUGAAGUGUGGACGCCAGUCUGCAUGGAGCCGACCUUGAAAUACCACCCUUUAAUGUUUGAUGUUCUAACGUGGACCCGUAAUCCGGGUUGCGGACAGUGUCUGGUGGGUAGUUUGACUGGGGCGGUCUCCUCCUAAAGAGUAACGGAGGAGCACGAAGGUUGGCUAAUCCUGGUCGGACAUCAGGAGGUUAGUGCAAUGGCAUAAGCCAGCUUGACUGCGAGCGUGACGGCGCGAGCAGGUGCGAAAGCAGGUCAUAGUGAUCCGGUGGUUCUGAAUGGAAGGGCCAUCGCUCAACGGAUAAAAGGUACUCCGGGGAUAACAGGCUGAUACCGCCCAAGAGUUCAUAUCGACGGCGGUGUUUGGCACCUCGAUGUCGGCUCAUCACAUCCUGGGGCUGAAGUAGGUCCCAAGGGUAUGGCUGUUCGCCAUUUAAAGUGGUACGCGAGCUGGGUUUAGAACGUCGUGAGACAGUUCGGUCCCUAUCUGCCGUGGGCGCUGGAGAACUGAGGGGGGCUGCUCCUAGUACGAGAGGACCGGAGUGGACGCAUCACUGGUGUUCGGGUUGUCAUGCCAAUGGCACUGCCCGGUAGCUAAAUGCGGAAGAGAUAAGUGCUGAAAGCAUCUAAGCACGAAACUUGCCCCGAGAUGAGUUCUCCCUGAGACUUAGAGUCUCCUGAAGGAACGUUGAAGACGACGACGUUGAUAGGCCGGGUGUGUAAGCGCAGCGAUGCGUUGAGCUAACCGGUACUAAUGAACCGUGAGGCUUAACCUUACA